UAGGGCGCAAGCCUGAUGCAGCCAUGCCGCGUGUAUGAAGUAAGGCCUUACGGGUUGUUAAAGACUUUCAGCAGUGAGGAAGGUGGGUAUGUUAAUAGCAUACUCAUUUGACGUUAGCUGCAGAAGAAGCACCGGCUAACUCCGUGCCAGCAGCCGCGGUAAUACGGAGGGUGCGAGCGUUAAUCGGAAUUACUGGGCGUAAAGCGCAUGCAGGUGGUUUGUUAAGUCAGAUGUGAAAGCCCGGGGCUCAACCUCGGAAUUGCAUUUGAAACUGGCAAACUAGAGUACUGGUAGAGGGGGUAGAAUUUCAGGUGUAGCGGUGAAAUGCGUAGAGAUCUGAAGGAAUACCCGGUGGCGAACGGCGGCCCCCCUGGACAGAUACUGACACUCAGAUGCGAAAGCGUGGGGAAGCAAACAGGAUUAGAUACCCUGGUAG
rnacentral:rRNA from 1 species